GGGACCAAAGACAUUCACGAUGCCACUCCCAUUUCGAGUUGUGAAAAGGGAAUAGUAGAAUACUUUUAUGGAAAAGAAGAGAUUGAUUAAAUAUUGUUCUUGAAAUAUUUUAUUCACAAUAGUCCUAUGGUAAUCGAUGGCUUUCAUAAUGGGGACCUGUCUUAUUCAUAUGACCACAAUAGGUGGUUGAUGGCUUCAAAGACCCACCUACACCCAAAUACCCGAGACAGGUCCGAAUACAGAAUUAUAAAUAAUGUCACGGGUCUGGGUCGGAUCUGAUUUUCACGAGUCUCGGGUAUGUGUAAUUUUAACUGACUUGUCUUUAGGGCGGUACAGAUCCGAAGUGACUGCUGCAGUUGAGAGCGAUAGAGAAAUUUGAUCAUUGCUUUUCAGGAGAGUGGAACAUGGCGCAUGUAGCUUGUUGUUGGUCAUAAGUCAUCAAAGCAGCAAUACCACAGUUUGAGUCAUAAUACCCAUAAACAACGGAAAUGGUUCCAUUCAUUUUUCGGUAGGGGUCAAGGGAAGAUCAUUUAACGUUGGCGAUUAUAGUCUGACUACACGAACGAUGAGCUAACGUUUAACUAGCUAGCUAAACGUUAGCUAAAUAUCCAUGCCCUGAUGGACUAACAUUGCCUAGCACGUCACCGCGUGGAAAAGUGACUAACUUACACGAACGAUGGGUGGACUGGAAACCCAGAAACAACACUCAGGUCUGCAGCUGCCAUUUUCUGGUGGGAAAGAGAAAUGGCCCUGCAUUUACCAGAAAAGUUAGCUCAUCCACCAUGGCAGAAGUGGAAGAUCCAGAUGGUUGAUUGGGAAACAAGAACAAACAAUGAGGCAUGAGGAUUGGUUGUUGAGGGACCGCAUGUCACAUUGUCCAAGUCCAACAGGAGUGCACUUCUCAGACCAUCCGGUGCAUGGACUUCCUGUACCAGUGUGAUCCGAGCAGGAGUGUCCAUUUGUACAGCACAUCAAGCCUGUGGACGGACAGACAUGAGGCGUGACAUGUGGAACAUCAGGCUCACCCCACGACAAGCAGUGCAUGAUCAACACCACCCUAAGCAAGGAGAUCUGCUGGAAGUGAUGUGCUCUCUCACUCAUAAUUUUAACAUCACAGAUAUAAAUUCCCACUGAGCCCAUGAUAAAAUGCAAUGUGAAUUGUGUUGUACUUCUGAAUUAAACUAUGAGGAGAUGCACUCAGA